UAGAUCAGGCCAGAUGGAUUGGAUUAGG
rnacentral:piRNA from 1 species